GGUGUUGCACCAAAUAGUGGUCACAAAGAUAAACUUCACUGUGAAACAGUGAAAAAAAAAAAAUGCUUUCUCACCCGAUUUAAAGGGGUUUUAGCCUGAAUAAAAUGCUAGUAGCAGGAUU